rnacentral:rRNA from 1 species
UACGUAGGGAGCAAGCGUUGUCCGGAAUUACUGGGUGUAAAGGGAGCGUAGGCGGGAUGGCAAGUUGGGUGUUAAAUCUACCGGCUCAACUGGUAGUCGCACUCAAAACUGCUAUUCUUGAGUGAAGUAGGGGCAGGCGGAAUUCCUAGUGUAGCGGUGAAAUGCGUAGAUAUUAGGAGGAACACCAGUGGCGAAGGCGGCCUGCUGGGCUUUCACUGACACUGAGGCUCGAAAGUGUGGGGAGCAAACAGG